AUACGGAGGAUGCGAGCGUUAUCCGGAUUUAUUGGGUUUAAAGGGCGCGUAGGCGGGAUAUUAAGUCAGCUGUGAAAGUUUGGGGCUCAACCUUAAAAUUGCAGUUGAUACUGGUUUCCUUGAGUACGGUACAGGUGGGCGGAAUUCGUGGUGUAGCGGUGAAAUGCUUAGAUAUCACGAAGAACUCCGAUCGCGAAGGCAGCUCACCGGGCCGGAACUGACACUGAUGCUCGAAAGUGCGGGUAUCAAACAGGAUUAGAUACCCUGGUAGUCCGCACAGUAAACGAUGAAUACUCGCUGUUUGCGAUACACGGUAAGCGGCCAAGCGAAAGCGUUAAGUAUUCCACCUGGGGAGUACGCCGGCAACGGUGAAACUCAAAUGAAUUGACGGGG
rnacentral:rRNA from 1 species